GCCAGCAUGGUGCAGUGGUUUGAGCAUUGGACUAUGACUCUGGAGAACAGGGUUCAAAUCUCUGCUCAGUCA
rnacentral:tRNA from 1 species